GGAGGGUUCGUGCAGCAGCAGCCAGCAUCAGGGAGCCGUCGGCAGGGCCGGGACACAGAGACAAAUCAGGCCGAAGCUCUACCUUCCAAAGAGUUCGAGUGUGGUUGGCAGACCAAAUAGAAAUGUUUUACGGCCUGGGGAAGGGAGAGCGAUGCCUGCGAGCCAGCGAGAGUGUGAGCUUGUAUGCUUUUUACGCGUCCAUCAGAAGAAAGAGGGAUGAGAAAGCCAAGAAAUCAGCGAUGGCAGGCUUGCCUCAGACUCCUUCAAGUCAAUCCCCGAUUCCCCACGCACCUAUCGAGAACCUACCCCAUGCAUGCAGAUAGGCAGGAUGAGAAGAUGACCCACACAUGGUCCCCGCAG